AUUGAACGCUGGCGGCAUGCCUUACACAUGCAAGUCGAACGGUAACGCGGGGCAACCUGGCGACGAGUGGCGAACGGGUGAGCAAUGCAUCGGAACGUGCCUGGUAGUGGGGGAUAACUGCUCGAAAGAGCAGCUAAUACCGCAUACGACCUGAGGGUGAACGGGGGGGAUCGCAAGACCUCUCGCUAUCGGAGCGGCCGAUGUCGGAUUAGCUAGUUGGUGGGGUAAAGGCCCACCAAGGCAACGAUCCGUAGCUGGUCUGAGAGGACGACCAGCCACACUGGGACUGAGACACGGCCCAGACUCCUACGGGAGGCAGCAGUGGGGAAUUUUGGACAAUGGACGCAAGUCUGAUCCAGCAAUGCCGCGUGCGGGAAGAAGGCCUUCGGGUUGUAAACCGCUUUUGUCAGGGAAGAAAUCUUCUGGGUUAAUACCUCGGGAGGAUGACGGUACCUGAAGAAUAAGCACCGGCUAACUACGUGCCAGCCGCCGCCGUAA
rnacentral:rRNA from 1 species